rnacentral:lncRNA from 1 species
CAGAUUGAGGUUGAAGAGUUGUGUAUGUUAAAGGAUCAUGAGCAUAGGAUGAAGAGAGCUCGAAGGUAAAAUGUUGUAAGAUCAAUGAUAAGGCCAGUUUUGCUUCCAUCAUAGCAAAAUUUUGGCCAAUGCAAAUCCGCGGACCAGCGCCAAAGGGGAAGUAUGUGAAUCUGUUGUUUGUUGCCUUUGAAACUCCUCCUGAAAACCUCUCUGGUUUGAACUCAUCUGCAUCGUCACCCCACAAUUCUUUGUCAUGGUGAACAAGAAGUAUGGGUACAUAGACGUCGACUCCAGCUGGUAAUGAUAAUUUCCCAAGUUGUGUUUUCUUGUGAGUGAUUCUGGACACCUCAACACCCGGUGGGUAUAAUCUCAGAACUUCCAGUAAGACCAUGGUCACCUGGGGCAUAUUAUAGGUGCAGCUAAUUGUUUCAUGUAAGCGACAUAAAACAUUCAAAUUACAAGUUUAUACAUAUAAUUAGUUUACAAGAAAACAUUAGACACUUACAACAUGUAGGUGCAUUAGCGCAUCAAAGGUUGGUGUGUUAUUGCUUCCAAUAACCUGCAAGACUUCUUCUCUUGCUCGAUUUUGCCAAUUCUGAUUGUGGCUUAGUAAAACCAUUGCCCAAACAAGCAAUGCUGAAGUGGUCUCUUGCCCGACAAAAUAAAACAGCUUACACUCCUCAAUCACAUCUUCAAUACUCAUUCCAACGUUUUUGUUGUUCUCAUGUUCCUUAAUUUCCUUGGAGUUGGACUCCAAAAGCAUACGCAAUAAAUCAUCCUUAUUAAUGUCGUCACCUGCCUUAAUCGUUCCUUCUCUUUUGUUUAUAAUAUCCAUGAUUAAAACUCUUAUCUCUUUAUUAAUUUCCUUCAUCCUCUUGUUCAUUUUUGAUGGUAGAAACCUGCACAAAGAAGAACUUAUUACAAUAGUAGUAAUUUUUUUCCCUUUCCAAUAAAAAAGUUAAAUUUUACCUCCAUCCUGGGAUAUAGACACUUGUUGCGCUUCUUAGAAGUGUUGCACCAAUUCUCGCUUGCUCUUUCAGCAGUUGGAAUAUUUUCUUUCCCUCUUCAUAGCUACUUCCAAAUGCAGCUCGAGAAAUCACAUCGCCUGCCAAACUCUGAAGCCAAGGCCACACAUCCAACUCCAAUAAACCCUCGUUGACCAUCAAGUUCUCCCAUGUGUCAAUCAUCUCGCUACAACUUUGGUAAAAUGUCGGUACCAUAAACUGCAAUGAGAAGAAUUAGUAAUUAUCGCUUUAUCACCAUAUAUAUAUAGAUCUCCAAUAAUUGUUCAUAGUGCUGGUGGAGUAUAUGAACAAUGAAAAACGACAGGGAGGCUAGUUACUUAUAAAAUACACACAAUUGUUAAUUAGAUCUCCAGGUAUUGUUCAUGCAAAAAGAACAGAAGAAAAAGAAAACUAAAGAAACUUUGAAUGCAUGUUGGAAAUAUACAGUACAAUACCUUUAGCUUCUCUAAAUGGAAUGCUGGGUUGAUAAUCUUUCUGUGUUUCGUCCAUUUCUCACCAUCAAUAUUUACGAGUCCCUGUGAAAGUACCUUUGUAAUUGGAUUACUAAGUGGCUUCCGAAAAUCAUCAUAUCUGUUUAAGACAUCUCUCAAAUCUUCUGGAUUCAAAAUGUUCACCCUCAGGGUGGGCCCCAUCCAAAUAAAAGAAUUCUUACCUGCAAAUUUUAGUUUUUGUUUAAUUAACUAAUCCAUGUCAUGUUUAACUUAUACAGAGUACUACACAUGUAUGGUGAUAUGAAUGUAAUCAAAUAUUUGGCAUACGGUGAGAGUUCACAAUACUAAUUAGUAUACACACACACACACACACACACACACACACACACACACACACACACAUAUAUACAUACAUAUUUGACAAAUAAGACUUGACAUACCGUAGGUGAUCACCGUCUGGUGGAGAAAAGGGAGGAUGUGUGGCACUAUAUCAUGUGAGAGGUGGUUCAUGGGUUUGGAUCUUGCUUGUUUGUGCAUCAUGGAGCUUUCUUUCAAGUCUCCAAACAAAAGUCUGUAGGAGUUGCCCGCCAAGCCUUGUUGCCUCAGGUAUCUUUCUAAUUUCUUUGGCCUGAACCACACCCAAUUCAGCAAACUCCAUGCCCACGCUACAAUGCUAACCAAAACAACAGUUAGGGCAACAGUGCCCAGUGAGGCUUCCAUUAACCUGUAGCGAGAAAGAGAGGGGAAAGUAAAGGGAGAGAUGGAGUUUUGGUGAUGAGGAACUUGUUUGAAUGGUGUGGAAAAUGCUUGCUUCCUGUAAGCACCUUAUAUCCAGUCUUGAUUCACAUGUAAAACGAUGGUGGUACGUAAGAGGAUGGUUUGGUGUCAGUUUGCAUGCAGGUGUAGGGAUCCAAGUGUAAUAAUACAAUUGAUUGAAAACUUAAAAAAAAUUAAAUAAAUAAAUAAAAUAAAAAAACCACCAACCAAUAGCAUUAAGACACUUAAUAUAUCAGAUCGUAUUUAUGAUAUACUGAAAAAUUUCCAUGACUUGGGACAAAUUUAAUGGUUGGCACAUCAUAAUGAUGCGUUAAUAACCGAAAUUUUUUUAUAACAUGGAUAAGCAUAAAAUUGAUGUCGCAACUUUAGAAUAUAUUAAUAAAAAAGUACAUAAACAAACGUGCUAUAAUUUUAGUGAAGUGCUAUAAUUUUAGUGAAAUCGCAACAUCGUAUGGUGGUGAUCCGGACCAAAAUUUUUUUCCAAAUAAUUCAUAUGCAUCAACAAAAGUGCAAUUUAUUAUGAUGGGCUUUAUAUUAAAAUCAUCGAUUGAUUUUCACACGAAAAGAUGGUUAAAUAAUCUUCAAAUUAAAUAAUUUUGUGCAAUGAUGAUCUUUCGAUGAUGAUAAAAAAGAAAAAAAAAAAAUUUGAAUAUGAUGUUUGUACGAUAAAGAUACGUUAAUCUUAAGUGAAGGGACAAAUAGGUUUCCCCAUAGAAAGGACACAUAUUUUUCAAAAAUGUUCUACACUAAAUUCAUCUGUACUACAAAAAUAAAGACUCGGACUUUGAAAGUAAAGCAAAAGAGCACGCUAACCAACUUGACUAAACCUAAGUCUGCACCAAAAUUGGUACUCUUAUCUUUCUAUUAAGCAUAGAUUCAAAUUGCAAUUAUUCCUGGUUAUUAUCAAUUUAGUUAGUUUUAUUCAUAUAGCUUGACUAAAUUAUUUAAAAAAAAAAGGCAACUAAAACAUAACCUGAACACUAAAUCACUGUAAAGAAAGAACUUAAAAUUUUUUUUAAGACAUUUGUUGAAAUAUCUUUGCUAUGUUUUCUUUCAUAUUUUUAAUAUACAUGGAUACAUAUAGUACUGUUCUACAUUCAUCUGGAAAAUCGCAUACAGCUCAUUACAACAAAGGCAAUAGGCACGGAAAAAUCUUUCACCCAACAACGAAAUAAGCAAACAUAAUACAAAAUGGAAGCAACAAAAUACUCUUUCAACUUUGGGGUUCCGACGCUGGGCUUUGACAUUGUUCAAGAAUUAUGUUACAGUUGUUCAUGGUCCGUGCGUCAAGGAGACCGUGAUUCCACAAUUUGAGCAUAAAUAAUCUCCAACACCUGCCAAAGUGAGUCGUUGUUUGAGAUUCAGAAAUGCUAAUCAAAAGCAAAGCAUGAUAAUGCUACAUUUUCCUCCAAGGCAAUACGUAAAGCAUCAAGCGCGUGAAGAGACAAAUUAUCUUCUUCUCAUAUAACAGUCAGUCAAAUGAUACUAGGUGUUUUCCGGAUGGCUUUCGCUUGAUAGGGGCUGGACAGGGGCAGGAAUGAUGCAAAGACAAAAUCACUUUACAGAGAAACUGUUCAAUACUGAAGGUGACGUCCUUAAACUUAAAACCAAAGAAAAGGUCUGACAAAAAAAUCUUGAGGGCAAAGAGUGAAAAUAGUUAAAUACUUAAACUAGGUCCUUAUGUGAACGCCACUGUACAUAUAGUCUUUAGUGGUACGUUUGAACGAGGGACUUUUAAGUUCAUGAAACUUAGGCUUUAAUUUGUUAGGAAUGGAUUAGAAAAAUUAGAUAAAGGGGGUUGUAAAUGACUAGAUGCAAUAAAUUCGAAGAAACUAACGAUCAAAUGAGUGCAAUUAUUACCAUAUCAGAGCAGGAUAUUUGACAAGAUCUUGCCCGUGCAACCUCAAAAUUGCCUCGCACCCCCAAAGAAUAUGAUCAUCAGCCAAUACCCUGCUAAACAUUACACAAAAUAUGUCAUAAAGAAUCGAGAGAAAAAUAAUGUUCUUCCACAUACGAAAAUGAACUUGUCCCUUUAUUUUUGGUCCAGUGCUUGUCCAUCACUGAGCAUUAUUGUUCGUGGCUGGAAUUUCCGUCGGGGAUGUUUCCUAGCCGACGAGCACACAGCUCCCCAAGAGGUUGGCGCCGGUUGAUGCUUUCUGUCAGGCUUCUGCUUUACUGGCGGGCUUGUCGGGCAAGGCUGAAAGAGAAGGACAUAGUUAACUUUGAAAGGUGCCUUUGUGGGGCCUUAGGUAUAGGCCUUGAGGCUCACAAUCAAGAUUAACUUUUAAGUGCUCAUGCGUGCCAUUGUCAUCUUUAGCAUGGCAGAUGUAAAAUAGAUGUUGAGUUUUAGUUGUACAUAUACCCGAGAGGCUGUGUUAGUUAUGACAGGUGCCUUUGUGGGGCCUUAGGUGUAGGCCUUGAGGCUUUCAAUCAAGAACUAACCCAGCACUCGAAUAUACGAUGUCUGUUUCAUUGAUUGCAGAACCGUUAUAACCAUUAUACUUCUGAUUAUCCGAGCUCGCAGAGUAGAAUGAACCCAAAUAGGUGCCUUUGUAGGGCCUUAGAUAUAGGCCUUGAGGCUUCCCAUCAGAAUUCCUUCUAUACUCAAACGUUCUACUAUAAUCAUAAUAUAAUAGAAAUAAAACUAAGAGAUAGGUCGAUUACUUGCGCCUCAAGUAACUUCGGACUUCUUGUUUAUCAAAGCUUGUCGUGGAUGGGUUAAGUCCACAUAAGGUUCUUUUUUAUGCCUUGAGACCAAGGACUUUUGAAUGAUCAAUCUUACAUGCCCGAGAGCUUAGAACUUAGAUCUGAUUUAAACUGUGAAGACAUAUUCAAAUCGGAUUCAAGAAUUGAGAGAGUCUUUUAAUCGUCAUCUUACUAGAAAUAACUUCAAUACAACUGGAAGUAUACAACAUAUUGCUAGGCUAAUGAAUGAAAAGACAAAACCAAAGAGGGUCGGGCAAGGCUGAUCGUCUUGCAACUUCCUAUCUUUGUGGUUUAUCAAGGGGUUUGAGAGCUUUAGAAAGGGGGGGUAGGGAGUGAGUUUACAGGAAGAAAUCGAUACUACAACAAGUUUUAAGACGAGGUAGCAGAGCUAUUACAAAAGGUUUGGGUGAGGGUUGAUCCCGAGAGGAAUGAAGGCUUGGGCUGACUACAGCUUCGUUUGAAGGCAAAUCUGGCUUUGAGCAGAGUUUGUACUUGUAUCUGUUUGUUUGAUUGAGUGUCCUUAUCUCUGAUUUCUCUUUUUUCUUUUAUAGACACUUCGGCUUGGCCUCCUGUAGCAGUAAUCUUGCCCGAAUGCAGCUUGAAGGGUAAUGACUCAUCAGCUAUUUACUUGUACUGCCCCUGUAAAAUGCUUUUAGGCUGAUUAGCUGGCUGGUCUACACCACUUGACCCCUAAGUAGGUGAGCAAGUGGUUCAAAUGAUCUGCACCUAGUCGGGAAAGGCCUUUCUGCCUUCUGGGCUUUGGCUGGGCUUCGGGCUUUUCCCCUUUCCAGACCUCCUUUUGGGCCAACUCCUUCUUGAGCCCAAAGUUCAAGUUUUAACCCAAACAAUUAUUAGUGCAAAUGAAGAGCCCUACCAAAAGUGCCACUUGAUAUCCAAGUCCAACAGUUGUUAUUGAAAGAAUUAAGAAGUAUAGAGAAAUUACUGUUGCUUCCUCACGAAGGAGUUCCACAUAUGCAUUAUUUUCUUCUCAUCUUUUGUCACAUCAACGAAAUCAUCAAGCAUCUACAAUAGAGUAAAAUAUCACUUGUUCAUUUGCUGGAUGCCACAUCAAUGUAAGGUGGAGCUAAUAUAUUCCCAAAUAAGCUCCCAUAUGUUCAGCGCAGAUACAUCAGUGCACGGGAAUACAAAGAACUUAAAACAAGUCCAGAUGGCAAGAAAAUCUUUUCCUCGAUGGCUCGAUCAGCCAUUAAUAAAGGUCAUGUCUGACCGAAAAUUAGUUGCCUAAGAAACAUAUGCUAUUGCACAAGAGAGAGGAGGUUUAGUAUUAUACCCUUCGAUCUUCAAGAUCAGCAACAUCAUCAUCAACCUCAUCCUCACUAUCCUGAUCUGACAAAACUUGUUCCAACAUCAUCGGCUUCAAGCAUAAAAAUAAUAAUUAGAAAUACAGUGCCGCACAUUCUAAGCAAUAGUGUCAUUUAAAUAUAUGAGCCAAAGAGAAACUAAACUAGUGACACCUGUCGGCCUCUGGAGCUAGCAACUAAGCAAACGGCACUACAAUAAAAAUAGGCUAAGACCACAAUUGAGUUGUGCCCUUUUCAUUUUCAAUGGCACAAAAGCAUAUUUGUGCUUUUUAAAUUUUAUUGAACACAAAACUAUUUCAAACGUUCCCUUACUUUGUGUCCAAAAAAAAAAUGGAAAGUGUAUUUGUUCCUAUUAAAACUUGAGCAUGAGCACGAAAGUUUGUAUGUACCAUCAAUAAAAUUUGGAAGUGACUUCUCGAUAUCCGUAAUUCUAGGUUUUUUUUAUUAAUUUACAAGAACACGAAAAUCAUUUUUGUGUCCUUUGUAUUAUUAUAUUUAAAUAAAAAUAAUUUUUUUGCCCUAUUUGUCUUGAUUUUUUAGAACAUAAGCUCACAUAUUUAUUUUUUAUUAUUUUUUGAAUAACCUGUGGCCCACCCACACUUCAACCUUUCACGGAACCCGUCCACCUUUCCGAAAAAAUUAGAGGAUUAAAUAUGAUUCUAGGACUAAGAUUCUUUUUUCUUCUUUUUUCAUUUUUUUUAAAUAUCUUCAAAGGAAAUGUAAAAAAUAUACACAUAAAUUAUAAUAGUAAAAAAAAGAUCACACUAAUAUUCUCAGUGUCAAAUCCUAUGUGGCGAUGACAUGGAUUGGCAGAAAAAAAAUGUUGUUGUCAAAUUUGACAACAGCUUCAAAUGUUUUUUUAAUUAAUUAUUAAAUGUAUUUUAUUAAUUUUUAAUUAGUUUAAUCAUUUAUUAUAAUUAUGUUGAGUUGACCGAUGCAAUUUUCUUAUUUUUUUCUUCUUUUCAGUCAAGGAAUGUGAACAGAUUACUGAUUAAACUUUAAAUGUCAUAUAUUAAUUUUUAAUUAGUUUAAUAAUUUAUUAUAUAAAAUAAUCAAAUAAUAAUUUAAUUUGACAUAUCAGUUGGAGAACAAAAUUUUAAAAGAUGUCAAAGUACCACAUAAGUUGUCAAAAUUUAAAUUUUAUGUUCAAAAUUUAAAUUUUAUGUUCAAAAUUUGACAUCUCUUUUGGAGAUGGUCUUACCUUCUCUCACACUCUUUAUUUUGUCUUUCUCUUUCUUUAAAAAAUAAAUAUAAGAUGUUUCCAGGAAAGGGGAGGAUAAAAAACAGAGGAGAGAAUCCUACUACAUGAUUCCAGUAACUAAAGAUGUAGUGCUUAUCAAAUCAUAAGUUUCUUAUUGCUUAACAAAGAAAUCGCUAUUCUAACAAAUCUUCUUCCUUCUUCUCAGAAUGACGAAUCUCUCAUUAUAAGAAAAAUGGCUUUUGGGUACGAAAUUAAGGACAGAAAAAAUAGGUUGUGUCUUUCUGAAAACCAAUAAGGUGAAAAAGUGCCAAUAUAUGAUAUAGGGCACGUAUUGUGCCCAAUGUAAAAUUAAUACAUUAUUGCUUGUACUAAGCACGAAUAAGCAUGUAAAUUUGAAAAUCAAAUUUUUUUCUGACAACUAUAUAAAUAAAUGGACUUAAUUAUGUCAAUUGAGUCCAAUUUUUACUUUUAAAGACACAAUUAUAUUAGUACUUUAUUACUUUCUCAAAGACUUAUGCCCACCCACAGUCAUCUUCUCUCUUCCCUUAAACCCACCCACACCACACAAAUUUCUAUCAUCCACCCAAAGCUCUCUCUCUCUCUCUCUCUCUCUCUCUCUCUCUCUCUCUCUCUCUCUCUCUCUCUCUCUCUCUCUCUCAGCCAAACAAAAUCAUAUGUUCAUCUAUCCUUUUCUCUCUCUCAUUCCUCUUAGAUCUAGGCUUUACCUUCUAUUCGGGCAAAGAUUUCGACCCUUGCACAGCUCCCCUUGGCAGCUCUGGCACUUGGUGAUGUGAGUGUUGGGGUCUUCUUGCUAGUUGGUACACUACAAGAAGAAUACAAAGUUAGUUAUGAAAUGUGCCUUUGUGGGGCCUUAGGAGUAGGUCUUGAGGCUCGCAAUCAAAACUAACAAAGUGCUUAGGCGUGCCACUGCUAUCUCAGUAUAGCAAAUGUAGAACAAGUGUGUUUUAAAUUGAUUACUUGUGCCCCAAGUUACUCAAACUUCUUGUUAUCAAAGGAUUGUCACAGAUUGGUUAAGUUUGCAUUAAGUUCUUUUUCUUGCCUUGUAAAUAAGGACUUUUAGUUCAUGAUCUUGUAUGUUCGAAUGGAGGGAGUCCAGAGCCCUUUAAGUCAUUUGUUUGAUUCCAAGUUGCUCUUAAUGAAAACAUAUCUAUUAAGUUAACCAGAUCUAGAUGCAAAUGAGACUCUUAAAAUAGAAAACAAGUGGAAAUGACUUGAAUACAUGCUGAAAAGUGCAUUAAGCAAUAAAUCUAAUAAUUUAGAGAACAAACAAAGAGACUCUGGAAAGAUUUCACCUUGUCUGGCAAGGUUGAACUUCUUGCAGCCAUUUCUCUUUGAGUUUAUAGAGGUUGUAUGUUAAAAAAGGGAUGAAUGGUAAACAGGUUUACACGAGGGAAUCGAUACUACAACACUAAGGGAGGUAGCAGAGCUUUUAUACUAGACAAAAUAACGCUUUUCUAAGAGAACUAUUGCUAAAAGGACUGAAUCUGGGUUGAUUUCAACUUUUUGGAUGCAAAUCUGGCUUAAGAGCAGAGUUUGUAUGUUUGUUUGUUUGUUUGAUGGGUGAGUUUCUUUGUCCCUGAUGCUUGCUUCCCCUUUUAUAGGCAGUUUGGGCCGACUGCUUUUAGUUCUACUCUUGCUCGAAAGCUCUUUGAGGAUAGUAAGUCAUCAUUUUUUAACUUGUAGUGCCACUGGAAAAUGUUUCUUGGUUGAUAGUAGGUUAGUCUUUAUCAGUUGUCACUUAUGUUAUAGACACGUGGCUUGUGUCUUGGCUGAGAAACCUUUACACUAACCCACGAUCCUCAACGUUAACUAACUUCCUUACUAUAUAAUCUUCACUUAAAUCUCUCGGCUAAAUACCUUAGCCAUUUUAAUCCUUCGAAUUUCCAGAAUUCUCAGACUUUCCAGAACCUUCUUGCUUCUUGUUCUUUCUCGCUUUCUGCCUUCAAUUAUUUCCUACUUUCUCUUCAAAAUCAAUCAAUGGCACCCAAAGUUGUUCAACCUUCCUGUGAAUCUGGCAAACAGAUUGUCACCAUGCGCCAUUUGCCCAACGACCUUCAUCGCGAUUGGGCUGGUCUGCAAACUUCACUUUUCUUCGAAGAGGUAGGAGUGCACUCUCUGGGAUCUACAUGGACCAGAUCCCAAUUGCUAUGAAGAACAAUAUGCCCAAGGCUAAAUGGUUCACCCCCAACCCAUAUUCUGACAAGGCUGGCAUUUCGGCCUCCAAGUGGUUGAACCAUUGAAAAGGUUUUCCUUUGAUAAAAGACGAAGGUUGGACACAAUGGCUAAACGAGCUUAAGCCUAUUUUCAUGAAGAAGUGGAUGAAAAAUGUCAUAUACGAGCUGAUAAUGCUUUCCAAGAUCACCGUGAUUGCCAAGCCCAAGUUGCUAACCACAUCUCUUAUAUUUUGGAACAACGAGACCAACACCUUUGAUUUCAGGAUGGGUCCCAUGUCCCCAACCAUUCUUAAUAUGGCUCAAGUUUUCAGGCUAAGGCCCUCAGGCAGAGUCAUGGAUGUUACCCACAACUGGUCUUCCCCAUCUCGCCUGACUGUUGAGAGCUUGGGCACUUCUGAUCUCAUAACUCGGUUGGAGUACACCCCUUCAACCUUCAAGAGUUAUGGGACCUCUUUCGCAGGCUUCAUCCUGUUUGCUAAGAAGGACUAGGAGCACAUGUACUUUCUCUUGUACUGGCUCAACAAGUAUGUCUUCUUCAACAAAUCUAAAUGGGUAAAGGUUGAGUGGAUUCCUUUGGUGGAAGCUCUCCACUCUUUUGAUGAUGUAGCUACGGGGCCAUUCCUCAUCGCACCUCUACCACCUCUUAUAUGAGAUGACCAGAGGCACACCCUUUGAGACCAACCUCAACGGGCUAACCUGGAUGGUCCAGUUGUGGCUACAAUGGUACUUCCCCGAGCUUUGGGCACCAAAAUUAGAAUUCCUUGAAAGUGUUGCUCCUACCCGCAUCUUAGUAGAGGCUUCUCCUACCAACCAUUCAACAUUUUAUGUCUCUACUUCUUUAGAGUUUGCCACAUUUGGGCAGACUUAGAGUGGGGAGCUUAAGUACUGAGAAAAUACCCUUGGUUUCAUACCAAAUCUUCCAGGAUGCCUUCGAGGAUGAUGUUAGUGCCUUCUGCAAGGAGAAGUUUAUCAGCUGCAUCCAGCAGAGAGAUCUAGCCUAGGGGGUGAUGAGCGACCGUUAUGAACACGGGCUGGAAGUUUACCACCCGAACUUUUACAGUAGGCAUCUGAGGUUUAGACAAGUCAUCGCAGUGCCUUUCUUUGACUCUGUGCAUUGCGGCACCUCCUACCGUCUCCACUCUCCUUUGGAAGUUAUGUUUCGAGCAGCUCGGUGUAGCUUAGAAGUGAUGAACAAAAUCACCUAAAAGCUCGUGGCGUUAAACUUCGAGUGUACUCCCUCAUUUUCUACUUGGUAGGAAGCCAAGUGGACCAAGAAGUGUGGAGUGGAUAUCAGGGAGUCUCACGAUCGUUUCUUCGGGCAACUCAUCAUUAAGUCAUAUCCCAAGCUGAGCAAGCUUGAAAGCUGGAAAGAGGUGAUUCAUUAGAAGAACCAGCUUCUUCUAAUAGGUAACCUUUGUCGUUUCUAACUUGUAUUUUAUGAUUCUUUUAUAAUUUGCUUUCCACUAAUCCUUCCCUUGGUUAUCUUGGAAUUUGCAGCCCAAGGCAUUACUGAAAAAGUAGACGUUAGGCUAGAUGAAGAAGCUGCAGACGAACUUGUCCUCCAAAGGGCUGCAACUGAUGCUCCAAGGCAAUGAGUUGGGUUUAGCAAGAAGGAGAGGCUGAGGAUCUCUUUAAGUAGUUUGGAGACUCUGAGGGCGAGGUUGAGCCUAUAGCAGAGGUUCGGGAAACCAGGUGGACGAGGGCAAUAGUGGUGGAAUCUUCUAAGUUUAAGCCUGAUGAGCAAUAGUGGUGGAAUCUUUUGAGUCUGAGCCCAAUAAGCAACCUUAGCCUCCACUCUCUAUACCAGGUCUGCGAGUAACCCCCAUGAAGAAGAGAAUUAAGGCUAAAACUUCCAAAGCCUCAAAAUCUUAUAAGUCAUAUGCUGCUUCUUCAAUUAAGGCGGGCAGGAAAAAGCAGAAGUCUUCCAAUAAGUGAACUUCAUCUCAAUCUUUUCCUAACUGCAAUUUCCCUUCAUUAAAUAAUAACUCACCUACAUUUGCUUCAAGAGAGGAACCCUUGGGCGCCAAGAUGUACUAGAGGGACAUGAAGCUUCUUGAAGUUAUCUUUGAGGAUGUGAAAGUAUGGACACUAUCCUUUUAAGUAUUAAAUCACUUUUUCUUUUAAAUUCACUUCCUUUAAACCCCUGUAUUAAUCUUUUACCUGACUGUUUAACAUAGGUCACCAGGGAAGAAAGGAUCUCCCAGCCUGAGGCUUCUUCUUCUCCUGCACAAGUAGUGUAUGCUUCGCCUUCUUGGGCUAAAUCUUAUAAGGUAUAUUCCUUUUUCACUCUUGGUUUAGUCUUUUAACCCUCAAAAUACUGACAGACUUCCUUAUUCUUUCCCUAGGCGAAGGUUGGGGCACCAACUCCUCAAGUCCGGCAAGGCUCAAUUCCCAUCUCUUUUACUUCUCCUCAUUCUACAUUGGCCAACUUACCAAUUUGACCCAAGGACUGGGGAGAUGCUGCACUUUGUGAAGGACAACAGUAACUUGGUGAAUAUUUUUCUUUAGCUUGAACUUUUUUGUCUUUAAACUUUCUCUUUAUUUAUACUUAUAUUUUACUUUGUUUUUCAGUCAUCCCUAGCACAAAAGAUCAACCAACCACGUUCAACUUCAUUUGGGAUGCCCAUAGUCCCUGGAUCCUUGUGGUCUCAGAAGUAACUAGCCCACGGGCUUCCCAAACUACUCAUCGGGCCAGCCUGCCUGCUCCUUCUGAGGCAGUUGUAAAAACAAAAGUGCGUAUCCCCCAACCUCAAGCUUCAUCUCAAGCAACAAUAACUCAUCCACCUUCUAAGGCUCCGAGCUUAACCCAGGUACACUAAGUUCCCUUGUCUAAUCUUUCAUUUAACUUACUAUCUUCUUUGACUCAUUUUUCCUUGGUUUGCAACAGGGUCCUAGAGAGGGUUUAGGAAAACUCCUCAUCCCUUGGUGCGCAAAGCAGCUCUUCCGAGGCCUCUAUUGGCUUCUGGGGUCAUGGGGGUUCCAAUUCCUCGGCCUAAGAAAAAGAUCAAGGCUGCUACCUCCAUUCUGACUUUUGGACCUCAUCCUUCAAUUAUUUCUAAGGCUACCCCUUCUACUGCUGCCACUGGAAGUGUUAGGGUACUGCCCCCAACUCUAACAUUUAUUCCUGCAAUGGCAUCUUUGACUGAGCUUGUUAAAAAGUUUAGGCAAAUCAAGACUAAGUUGCAGUCUCCCUCUCAUCCUUCUGAGCCUCAACUUCUUUAAAAUGCAUGCCAAAUUUUCAAGGAGUGGAUGAGGAGAGACUUCAUAGUUUUUUGCAGCCUUAAGGCUCUUUAUGAUGCUGAUAAGGCCUUGACUGAGCUCUACAAGGCUCAAUUAUUGUCGAAGGCUCAAUAUGAGUUUUUUCUUUACUUAUUUGAUAAUCUGCGAGAGCUGAGGGAUCAGCAUCAGCGGGCAAAGCAGACAUCCAACAGAGUGAGGUCUUACCAAGAAAAAUACACUCAGACUUCAACCAUACUUCAACAGUUGGUAGAGGAAGGAUCCGCUAUGGAAGAUAGGAUAGUAAUGGUAGAUUCUACGAUCUAAAAGUUGGAGGAGCCGUUUUCUUCUUUGAAGGCUGAGAAGUUGAACCUGGCCAACCAACUUUACAAGAAAAUAGAAGAGGUAGAGAAGGUAAACCAGGAAGUUGAAGCCUCUGAAGUCCAAUUGGCCAAUAACAAUAUGUACCUAGAAGAACCUGGUCGAAUUUUUGUAAUCAUGCAGGCCUAUCAUUCUAGGAUAGCUACAUUAGCCAAGGAUGUGAAACUAUUAAAUUAAAGCUUUUGUGACUUCCUUCUUUUGCUGAAAUAAAAGACUUUUCUUCAUAUAAUCUUGUCAUCAUAUUUUUUGAAGUUCUAACUGCACCAUCUAACUUUAUUUCUUCUUGAAAUAACUAACCCUCAUCAAUAUAAUAAUCCCUGACAUCCCAUAGAGUUGGAAGAUGUUUCUUUAAAAACUUAGUAUUAACUGGAUGCCUUUACAAGUUUCCUUCCAAAUCUGCCAUGUAAUAUCCUCCAUUAUCCAAUACUUGGUUGAUAAUGAAAUGACCCUCCCAAGUAUGGCUUCACUUCCCAAAGCCUCUGACUUGUGCUCCCAUGGCAGAAUUGCCUUCCAUGCCAACUCUUCUUCCUUGAAGUUUUUUAACUUUACCUUCUUGUUAUAAGCUCGGGAAACAGCUUUCUUCCCUUUUUGAAUUUUGUUUAAAGCUUCAAUUCGGGCCACAUCUAGAUCUUCAACUUUUUGGCACAUAACUUGAAUGUAUUUUUCGCUAUGUAGCCUAAACUGGUUUUGAAUUCUAAUAAAGCUCACAUUAAUUUCCAUAGGUAAUACAACAUCUUGCCCGAAGGUUAGGGCAUAAGGAGUAGUUUCAAUUCCUACCCUCUUGGAGGUUUUGUAAGCCCACAAAGUGUCUCUUAACUUCUCAUGCCAUUUCUCUAGACUAUCUACUAUCAUCCUCUUUAUAAUAUUUACCAAGAUCUUGUUCCUGGCCUCUGCUUAACCAUUUGAUUGGGGGUAAUAGGGAAUGGUCUGGAUCAUUUUUAUCUUGAAUUUACUUGCAAAUUCCUCUACUUCUUUUAAAAUAAAAGAUGUCCCACGAUCUGUAACAAUCAUCUCGGGCACCCUAUAUCUAUGUAAGAUCUUAGUUUCAAUGAACGUCUUGACAUCAGUUGAAGUAAUAGUCCUUACAGCUGAAGCUUCUACCCACUUGGUAAAGUAAUUUGUUGCCACAAUUAUGAAUGUGCGUCCCUUGCUAGAAAAUGGGUAAAUUUGCCUGAUGAAGUCCAUUGCCCAUCCCUGAUAGACCAAGGCUUUACCACAGGAUUCAAGGGUAUUGAUAGCACAUGUUGGAGAAGUCCAUGUCUUUGACAUUCUUCACACCCUCGGGCAUAAGCUUUGCAAUCUUUCUCCAUCUCGAGCCAAAAAUAACCAUAUCUUCUGAGCAAUUAUCUCAUAUUAGUUCUAGCUUGAUGUGACCCACAGAUUCCUUCAAGUACUUCGGCCAUCACUCUCAUUGAUUCUUCUUGGCCUAAGCAUUUCAACAACAGUCCAUCUGGAGUCUUCGUUAGCAUAGAUUCAUCCCACAUGACAUACUUAGUUACUUGUUGUCUAUUCUUCUUACUUAUGGGGAAAGAAGGGUUUUUCGGUACUAAGUAAUGGGUGUUCUCCAGUCCUCUAUCUCUGGUUCUUUAGCCAUCACAUCCAGGUUGAAUCCUCUCUCAAAGAUAUAAGGUAGGGCUCUCCUUUGUACUUCUACAUCUACUUCAAACCCUCUUUCUUGGAUCUGCACAAGCUAACUGUGCCAUCUCAUUAGCAAUUGAAUUUGACUCUCUGGGGAUAUGAUUGACUGAUAUUUUAGUGUCCUAAUAACUUAAUAGCUGAGUAGCUGCCAAAUAAUAACCAGCCAUGGUGAUGUGUUUGCACUUAUAUUCCCUAUUCAGCUGAUUGAUCACCAACUCCGAUUCUCCAAACACUUCAACUUCAGUUGGCCCCUAACUCUAUCAAGAUUUCUAGGCCAAUUAUCACUGCCUCAUAUUUUGCCCGAUUGUUGGUAGUAUCUUGGUAAUCCAGAAGAAAUGAAUAUCAGUGUUAAACCCCAUGAGGAUCAAUGAUAACAAUCCCAGCCCUAGCAGCAUGUUGAGUGCAAGAUCCAUCAAAAUACAGCCUCAAUGAGUGAUCCAUAGGCUGGUUAUUCUCUUUACUUCUUGCUGAAUCCAUUCGUCCUUGCCCGAGUGAGCAUUACUUGGUGGAAUCCAAACACUGGCCACCUCAAAGGUUCCUGGGACGUUGACUAGUUUAUCCUGUGGUUCUUAGUGCUCGGCCAAGAAGUCUGCAAUUGCUUGCCCCUUUAUUGCUCUUUGAGGCACAUAUUGAAAAUUGAACUCUGACAGUGCUAGAAUUCAUUUUUUCAAUUCUCCUAACUAGCAUUGGUUUUGAUAGCAUGUACUUGAUUACAUCUGUCUUGGCAAUAAUGUGGAUGUGGCAAGGCAAUAUGUAAUGUCUUAGCUUGCAAGUAGUGAAGUACAAAACUAAACACAACUUCUCCACUGGGGUAUAUCUUGUUUCUACCUCAGUAUGGAUUCUACUGAGGUUGUAUAUUGCUUACUCUUUCCCACCUUCAUUGUUUUGGGCUAACAAACUUCCUAAUGACUUUUCAGAAGUAGAGACGUAAAGUUUUAAAGGCUUCCCUAUCUGAGGUGGCAUGAGCACUGGUGGAGAGGCUAGGUAAGCCUUUAUUCUGCCAAAGGCCUUUUGGUGUGGUGGGCCCCAUUCGAACUCUCUUUUAUCUUUCAAUCUUAAUAGAAGAGUCAAUGACUGAAUCUUGCUUGCCAAGUUAACAAUAAAUCUCCUUAGUAAGUUGAUUUUUCCCAAUAGCCUCUGCAGUUGUACUUUAUUGGUAGGAAGAGGCAAUUCCAUUAUUGCCCGAGCUUUAUUUUUGUCUACCUCUACCCCUCUUUGAUGAACAAGGAAUCCUAAAAAGUUGCCCGAUCUUAUCCCAAAAGCAUAUUUCUUAGGAUUCAUUUUCAACUUAUGGGUACUCAUUCUUAAUAAGGCUUGUCUGAGGUCUACUAAGUGUUGUUCUUCGGUUUUAGACUUCACCACAAUGUCAUCAAUGUAUACUUCCAUGCUAUGGCCAAUCAAGUCAUGAAAAAUGGCAUUCAUUGCUUUUUGAUAAGUUGCACCGGCAUUUUUUAGUCUGAAUGGCAUUACCAAGUAUUCAUAUGCUCUGAUAUAUCUUGGGCAUCUAAAAGUUGUCUUAUGUAUAUCUUAUUUAGUCAUUUUUUUUUUAUUAUAACUAGCAUUUCCAUCCAUGAAAGAUAGAACUUUGUGUUUUGCAACUGCAUCUAUGGAUAAGUCAGCCAUGGGCAUGGAGUAUUUGUAUUUAGGAGUGGCUCCAUAAUGUUUCGAUCAACACAACACCGAACUUCAUUAGUUAUAGCUUUUAAAACAAGUACAAUGUUGGCCAACCACUCAACAUACUUGGCAAGCCUAAUAAAUCCAUCAUUUCGAUCUCUUCUUUGACAUUUUCUUCUAUCUCUUUUAACAUUCUUCGUGGUGCUUGCUUUACAGGUUUAUAUCCCUCCUUAAUAGGCAUCAUGGGUUCUACUAAGGUUGAAUCUAAACCUGGCAUUUUGGUGUAAUGCCAAGCAAAACAAUCUUUAAACUCGUGCAGAAGGCUAACCAUCUUUGCCCGAUCUUCUGCUUCUAACAGGCCGCUGAUUUGUAUAGGCCUUGGAUCUUCCUUAGUUCCCAAAUCAAUGAUUUCUAAGGGGUCUUGUACCUUUAGUGCUGGCUUGUCAGGUUCUUUACAUAAAAAUUCAACUGACUCUAGGCCCUCUGGCAUGUCAUCGGGCCAAUCUAAGUCAUAUAUACAUUCAGCCAUAUGUAUGGUUGCCUUUAUCUUUUUCUCAAAAAACUCAUAUUCUCUUGUGUUUUGGCUGCUUGAAGCUUUUUUCUUGGCUGAGCUUUCCCUUUCUUGAUUUCUCUCUACCGUACACCAAUAGUCUAUUGAUUAAGGACCCGACUGCAACUACUUGGUCCUUUCUUUUUUGUCCUGACGUUACUGGUGUUGGGGAGCUGGGAUGAUAUGGGGUAUAUCCCAUUCUUCCCUAGUGAGAAACAAUCUUUGUUCUAAGAGCCUUUGGAUUGUCACCUUAGUCGAGCAACAUUUUUAAUUAGCUCAUAGGCACUGGAGAAUCCCAACAAUGAGAUUGUAAAAACUGGCUUUUGUAACAUUGGUUGUAGGGAUAAAUGGUUGUGAUUCAGCCUCUACUAUCUCUUAAAAUCAUGGUCAUAUAGCCCUUUUAUAGUGGUAAACAAAUAUUUUUUAAUGCAGGAUGGAAGACACGGAAAUACUUUGGUGAAUCCAAUCUCUGCUAAGCAAGGCUCCAUAAGCGGAACUGUUAUCCACCACAAAGAAAGCUAGCAUGAUUUGCUUGGAUCCCAAGUCAAUUUCCAAGAGCAAUAUCUCAUGCGUUCUGGUAAUGGUCCUAGAAAAGCUAGAAACUGUUAAGUCAGUAGGAAUAAGAUCUUCCUCACUCCUCCAUAACUUUUUCAUUUAUUUUAGUGGCACGUUGACCGCAGCUCCUCCAAUUAAAACCCUCUUGAAGGGCACCCCCUACAGAUGAGCAAUUACAUAUAUUGGUUUGAGAUGGUUAGCUAAGGCCAUACAUGGGCAACUGAAGACCAUCCUAUUAGAAUACACUCUCCCGGGCUCUCUCCUUAGAAGUCCAGGCAAACCUGUCGGACUGGACUCUUCUUUUCCUGUUUCCUCAACACUAACAUGUGGCAUCAUAGGUUUUAUUGCCAAAUAAUCACCCUCAAUUGUAGCAGGCUAAUCAGGCUCAGCACAAAACAUGGCAAAUAAUGCAUAUGUUAUGUUUACGUGGAAGUUGCUAGGUCGAGGUGAAUCAUCAAUCUUCCCUCUAAUAUGGUCCGUGAAUUCAUUUAACCAGGUAUGUGCUUCUUUUGGUAACAUUAGUUUGAGAAAUUCUUCCUCCCUAGUUAUACCAAAGUUUGGCACUUGCCCUGGGAUUUCACAAAGGGUUUCAAACAACAAAGGUGAAGGUAUUCCCCUAUCAGGUGAAAUAGUUCCAAAACAUAUUGGUCUUGGACUUCAUUUUGGGGUUAGCAUCGUUAUCAUAUCUUCUUAAGCUCUCUUCAAGAUUCUGUAAUUCCCCGAAUGAAGGUUUUAUGGCACAUGAUCCUUCUCCCUCAGUCUUGCUAUUGCCCUUUCCACCUUAUUUUUGCUUCUCAAUUGAAGUUGAUUUCUCCCCCCAUGUGGCACUUUUCAAACUUCACAUUUUCGGAGGUUUCUGAUGUAGCAGGGACUUUUAAUGAUUUCAUAUGGGCUUUGUGUUACCUUUAAACUCUCCUAAUCAUAGAAGCUCCCACCUCCUUUACUAGUUUUCCAUCCUGCCCCCUUUACAUACCAUUUUCGCCCGAGUCGAGCAUAAUCCUUUUUAGUGACUGGGGAUACUAGGUUUUUUGUUCUUCCUUUCAUUAUAACAUCAUUAUAACUUGGUUGGGAAGACCUUACAUCCAUCCAUUUUGGCAUUUUGGCCUCUUUAUCCUCCACUUCUUUUGAGGCUUCAUAAUUUCUAAAUACCUCGGACAAACCUUUUGAUUCAGAGUCCCCUCCUAACCUUUGGAAGACAUUUCUGGAGGUUUCCUUCUCAAUUGUCCGUCUGAUAUUCUUGCAAGCUUCUUGCUCUUCUUUCUCUCUUCUCCUGAUCAAUUCUUAAUCAAUAAUAGCUUAUGAUGCUGGACUUCUAGCUUAACUCACACUGGCACUUGCUACACAACACCACCCCUUUGACUAUGGCUGCUUUAGGUCUCUCAGGCAACAUGAUAGCUCCUUCUGUAAGUCUGUCAACUUACCUUCUCUCUGCCCAAGUCAGGUUGAUCAUGUUUAUUGGGCUCUUUGGGAAGGGGUUUGUGUCAAUCAUCAUGUUGGCCUGGGGUUUCUCCAAUAGCAACUUUCCCUUGACUAUGAGCUCUUGUAUCCAGUCCUUGAACUGUACACAGUUGGUUAUGAAUGGUUGAAGGUAUAGUGUAGCUUGCAAUACUUAUUUCCUCUUAAUUCCUCGGGCUUAGGCAUCUUUUUUAUGCUGUCGGGCACAAUCACUCUUACCCGCACCAACUCUUCAUAGAUCUCUGAGGCUUUGGUUAAAUCAAAAGAAUAACUAUGGUAUUUAGGGAGCUUCAUAGGGACAAAUCCACCAUCAUUCAUCAUUACUUUUUUAUCUUUGACUGGCUAGACCAACCCUUUUACCAUUAAAAGUUUGAAGGGAGUAGUAAUCUCUGCUGCUCACAUUUCCAUUCCCUCUUAUCCAUGACCAUUAUUUUCUUCUGGCGCUGCUCUUUCAAACUCUAAUUGGUGAAUUCCAGCUUUAUUCUUGUAAAAAUGAGGCACCUUGGAUGAGUGUUUCACUUGUUGUUCCUCAAUGAACACCUUGGAUGAGUGCUCCAUUUGCCCCCAAUUAGCAAUGGAAUUACGAGGCAAUAGAGAAUACCAUUGAGACGCUAGGCCAAUCAGCGAGUUACUAAACAAUCUUAACUUAUAGUUAGGAUUGUUUUCAAAUGCUAUGCAAUGGUUGGAAAACUUGAAGAUAUGAUCUCUAGAUGACACAUUGCCAUCUUCUCCACUAAAAGUUAGGAACGCGGGCAUCUUAAAGUUGAGGGGAACGCGGGCAUCUCUGGAUGACACAUUGCCAAAAUUAUGUUCAGGCAAAGAAUUCGACCCUUGCACGACUCUCCUUGGCAGUUCUGGCACUUGGUGAUGUGAAUGUGGGGGUCUUCUUUCUAGUUGCUACACUACAAGAAGAAUACAAAGUUAGUUCUGAAAAGUGCCUUUGUGGGACCUUAGGAGUAGGCCUUGAGGCUCGCAAUCAAAACUAACAAAGUGUUUAGGCGUGCCACUGCUAUCUCAGUAUAGCAAAUGUAGAACAAGUGUAUUUUAAAUUGAUUACUUGCGCCCCAAGUUACUCAAACUUCUAGUUAUCAAAAGAUUGUCAUAGAUGGGUUAAGUCUGCAUUAAGUUCUUUUUCUUGCCUUGUAAACAAGGACUUUUAGUUCAUGAUCUUGUAUGUUCGAGUAGAGGGAGUCCAAGGCCUUUUAAGUCAUUUGUUUGAUUCCAAGUUACUCUUAAUGAAAACAAAUAUAUUAAGUUAACCAAAACUAGAUGCAAAUGGGACUUUUAAAAUAUAAAACAGGUGGAAAUGACUUGAAUACAUGCUGAAGAGUGCAUUAAGCAAUAUAUAUAAUAAUUUAGAGAACAAACAAAAAGACUUGGGCAAGAUUUCACCUUGUUUGGCAAGGUUGAACCUCUUCAACCACUUCUCUUUCAGUUUACAGGGGUUAUACGUUAUGGUAAACAGGUUUACACAAUGGAAUCGAUACUACAACACUAAGCGAGGUAGCAUAGCUUUUAUACUAGGCAAAAAAGUGCUUUUCUAAGGGAACUAUUGCUAAAAUGACUGAAUCUGGGUUGAUUUCAGCUUUUUGGAUGCAAAUUUGGCUUGAGAGCAGAGUCUGUAUGUUUGUUUGUUUGAUUGGUUGAGUCUCUUUGUUCCUGAUGCUUGCUUCCCCUUUUAUAGGCAAUUUGGCCCGACUGCUUUUAGUUCUACUUUUGCUCAAAAGCUUUUUGAGGGUAGUGAGUCACAUCUUUUUACUUGUAGUGCCACUGGAAAGUGCUUUUUGACUGAUAAUAGGUUGGUCUUCAUCACUUGUCACUUCUGUUAUAGACACGUGGCUUGAGUCUUGGCUGAGAAAGCUUUAGUUUGUUUCUGAACUCGAGUCUUCGUUUAAUUUGGCAUCUUUGAACCUUCCUUCAUCCAAGCCCAAUAUUCAAAUAUUAACCCAAACACCUUCAUUUUUUUCUUUGAAAAACACCAAAACCACUCAUGCAUCAUAUUUGAGUUUGUGCUUUUUACAUUUUGAGUUUAUAUCUUAUGAGAUCUGGCAUACAUAUUUUCAAGUCUCGCCUCGAUCUUUAUGGAUUUGAUAUUUGGAAGCAGAAAAGAGGAAGGCGAAGAGGAUGGUGAAGGAGGUGGCAACCUAUGUCAGGAUGAAAAGGUCAAGAUCUCUUCUUUCUCUUGCAUGCAGAAGUAAUUUCAUUUUCGUAUUGAACUUAUAAUUUGGGUGAUUUGCAAUUUUGUUAUGCAUUUAAUUAAAAGCACCUAUUCAAUUUUGCAAUUUUGUUGCUUUGUUCUUUUUCCCUUCAUUUAUGUUGGUUUUGUAAGAUAUGUGGUUUUUUUAUCUUUGAUUUGGUUUUUAUUCAUAACUUUGGCAGAAAGAAGUUCAGAUUUCACAUAGACCAUCCUGGUGACUUAAUUUAUGGAGCAACAAAGAUGGGAUGUAAGUGCAAAGGUUUCCACAGAAGAGUAAUUUUCAAGUCUUUUUAAUUAGGGAUAAAAUAUGUAAAAUUAAAGUUGUUUUAAUAUAUUUCAAUGGAUAGUUUCGAAUGUCGUAAAUUGUAAUAUUCCAGAUGCUUGUGCUUGUGGGCAGCUUUCAUUUUUGGAAAAGAAUUUUUUUUUUUUUUUUUUUGGCCUCUAUUUUGGCUGCCGGGAGUGUUUAUAUUUUUUUUCUAUAAUUUUUUAAUUUUUAAUUGAUAGGGCACGAUUACAAAAAUUGUGUGAAUACGGAUGGGAAAGUCUUCUAACAACCUUGUCAGAACAAGGCACAAAAAGGCUCUUAUUUGUUCUUAAAUGUUAGAGCGCAAAUGACCAUAUUGUGCCUGACACGCCCCGACCCUGAAAUUCCCCGAAUACCAGGAUAGACAUGUGAUGGCCGACACCCGAAGUUGACGAAAGCCAUUAAUUGAUACAAAAGCUAAGAAUAAGAAAUGAAUAAGGGUUAGAAAUUUAAAAUACAAUGAAAUAAUAAUUUAGGAACGUGCUCAGAGCAUACAACUAAACCUAAUCACUAAAAAGAAUUAAGAUAAAAUUGAACGAAUAAAAGAGUGGGUCCUACAUCGAGAGGAUUCAAAGAUGUUGUUGGGGAAGUGUCUUGACGCCGGGAUUUGGUGCCUUGAUCCUAAGUUCUAAAUGGGGGCGCAAAACAAAUGUGAGUGGACCAAGUUCAUAUAUAUAUAUAAUAAUAAUAAAACAGUUAUCAAUGUACUAACCCCCAUAGUUUAUAUAUAAUGAAAACUACUAGCAUAAUAAGUUAUGGAUUUAAUAAAAAUCCUAGCAUGCCAAAAAUAUCUCAAAAGUCAUAUCGCGGAAAUCAAAACAGUAAACGUAUCAUAGAUCGUCUCGUAAGCGUGGUGUGCUGCUAGAAAGAUCACUGAAUAAAUAUAACUUCCGGCCUAAUACCUGCUCCGUGGUCUCUGCGCCCGUAGCCAGAGAUUACCAACUCCCGGCCCAAUGCCUACUCCAUGUCCCUCAGCCCGUAGCUAGGGAUUAUUUCUCCCGGCCUAAAUGCCAACACCAGAUCCUCACCCCAGGCAGCAUAGUGUCCUCUAGGUACGCACAAAUAGUUACGCCUCUCAUAAAUAACCACUUCAUAGUAUAAAGUCAUCCAUCAUCUAUACUAUAAAGAAGGGUUUCUAAAACAUGUUCUAGCAUCCUAUCCUCAUCCAUCAGAUAGUCUACUAGAUCAUGGUUUUUAUAGACAAUACGAUAUAUCAAAAUAUAGCUCAAUAUAAGCCAACAAUUGAUUCCUCACCAAAAACACGAGACGAAAAUCAAUAUAUUUAAUAAACAGACUUCACAUAAAUCAAAUCAUAAACACGUAGGCAUGCUAAUCAUUUAUGCAAUUAAACUAUAAAAUGUAAUUAGAAGGGGUCCACUCACAGUACUUAGUUGCCAAAAGCUACGCCACUAGCGAAGACGGAAACGUCACAAUAAUUGCCCCUAAGCACAUAAAGAGUCCAAUAAAUAAAACUAUAUAAUAGCAAUUGAAUUGGGGAAAAUGGACAUUGGAAACGGAUUCAGAACGUUGAAUUACACUAAGAAGGGUCCCGAACGAAAACCCAAAAAGUCAACCCUAAAGUUAACGUUAACCCUCGGUCAACGGUCAAAUUAGGUCUAAUGGGUUUUAGGCUUGAAAUGCCGAUUAGGGUUUAGGUUUAGGUUGAAAUAAGGUUAGGAUCUAUUGAGUUUUGGUUUUGGAUAGGUUAGGUACAAAAUGGGUGGUUUGCGCUUAAGCCCAAAUCCACACACAACACACACACACACACACACACACUCACACACACACACUCAUAACCCAAAGGCCUCACAACCAAAAGGGUUGGGCUCGGCAGGGAAGGCCCAAAUGGCUUAGGUUUGGUGGGUCGCCGGACCCAAUGGGAAAGAAAGCCAGAAAUCGGCAGGAAAAUGCACAACCUUUAAAUGGCCAUAACUUUGUCAAAACUAAACGAAAUCAAGUUAUUCAAAAGCAAAAGUUGUAGCCCUCAAAGAGACGAAGAGAAUGUUACCUCACAUGACGUCUAACGAGCCUUGGUUUGGCCAAAAAAUGCCUUGAAACCCUCGAAGGUCGCCGGAAACUGGGUAAGAUUCAAAUGAGUAUAACUUCUUCAAUACUCAAUGAAAUUGAGUGAAACAAAAAGGAAAGUUGUAGUACUCGAUGACAUAAAGAGAUUGAUACCUUUCACUGUUGCCAACUCACUGUGGUUUGGCCGGAAAUUAUCUCGAAAGUGAUGGUGCUCGUCGAAAAAUAUGGAGAAUGCUCCCCGAGCUGUUUUCACGUUUAAACCUUCACCAAAAACCACUUUUUAACAACCACUAAGCCUUUUAGACUACCAGGGAGAAAGAUGGAAGAGUGGUUCAACUUACCUUUGUUGGAAAACACCUGCACAAUGACUGUGCAUAGUGCAAAAAAUAGACCGGAGAGGUGAGGGAGAGAAUGAAGGUCUGAGUGUUGGUGAUGGGUGGUGUCGUCUUCGUUGAUGUGGUGUGGAAGUGAGGGUGUGUGGGUUGGUUCACGGGGAGAAGGAGAGAGUGUAGAGAAAGAGCACGAGUAGAGAUGAGAGAGAGAGGGAAAAGAAAGAAUUGAGAGAUAAGAGAAAUCGGGGACACAAAAGCAAGGUGGGCCCUCUGGGCACACGUAUUAAGACCGAAAAACAAUUUUAAAAGCAAGAUAAACUCAAACUUAGUGAAAAUACAAUUUAAAUUAGGGGUGGGGUGUAACAAUCUACCCCCCUUAAAAGAAUUUCAUCUUCGAAAUUUAAAAUCAUUUACUAAACUGAAAUACUCGAAAAUAGGAAGAAGAAUAUAUGUAUAAAGAGAAAUCAAGUCAGAGUGGGUGCAUCAAAGAGAAUAUGCCACACCGUCGCGAGUGGGUUGCAAAAUCCUCUAUCAUGCCUCCAAACUCUUACUUUCAUUCUCAACAGUGUGAAAGUAGAAAACAUACUUUAUAAAGAUAUAAAGUCGAAAACGCAUAUUAACGUAAGGUCAAAAAUAUGUAUGUGAAAUACAAUAACAUCAAAAUAGAUAAGUAAUAACAUAUAGGUUGAAAACUCAAAUCAACUUAAAAAUGAAAAUAGAAAUACUUUUCCAAAAACAUUUGUAAUGUCAAAACAAUUAACUAGAGUAAAUGAAGUUAAAAUACUUAUACUGAAAACCAAAACUGAAAAAUGAGAGUGGGUCUUACCCAAGAAUUCGAAACGUUAUGUACUCUGAGAACAGAUGUGUCUUUAGGUCGAGCUCCAAGAAUCAAAAAUCCGUAACAACUGUCGUAGACGAGUCUUCCCGCCCAUUUGCUUAAUGAACCCAACAAAUAAGCUAUCGAUAUCAUAGUCUGCAACCCACAAUAUCGACCUCACAUUUGUUGUCUUGAUAAGAAAGUAGUAAUUUCUCAAAGGUGUACAAUUUCCCAUAUCGUAGGAUCGAUCAUCCAAAUACAAGUUCGCAAGACUUUUCUGUCAACCAAUAUUGUCCGUGAAAAACUCUUGUACCAUGUCGUAAAAAGUGCCAUACACCAAACCGAACAAAACAGAAAAUGUAGUCGUAACACUUUAUCCAGCACCAAGCAUCAAAUUCUCUUCAGUUUUAACUGUACCUUGGGAUUCAAUAGAAGUGGCUACCAUGUUAAAAGUAGACCCAAAAACUCGAACUAAGCAAGCAAAAAGCAAGAAGUCAUCUUCCUCAACACGCAGUAUCUCUUGGGAACUGUUGUAGUGCUCAAUCCACCUCUCCAUUUUUGCUUAGUUGCAUAUUUCUAGUCAACCAAGGUCAAAGUUAGUAGAAAGAAGAACGACUCGCAAAUGGUCAACCUAAAAACAAAAAAGAGUACACACCUUUUGAGAGAAGUGUAAAGAUUAUCCAAUUCUCGCUUCGACCGUCCUGUAGUGCCAUCCCAGAAUGCACCAAACAAAUCUGCUAGAAAUGUUUUAACAACCACGUACUCACAACAAUAAGGUUCAAAAGUGAAGCAGUGGAAAUAUGCGUUGAGACAAACACAUAUCGUUGGAAAAUAACCGAUAUGAUGCCUAUGAAUUCUAGUAAGAUGGUGAUACAAUAUGCUGACCUUCAGUACUAAAACCUUCAACCAACUCUUACUAAAAGAUUGCUCGAACCUCACACCCAUGUGCUCUCGAACUAAAGGAUCCUAGUGAGAGGUAGUGGAAAGCUGCGUUGAGGCGAACACAUCACAUCAUCAAAAAGGUAUACCAGAGUAAGAUAUAAUGGUUAUGAAUUGUAGCAAGAUAAUGAGUGGUGACCAUUCAAUUCAACAUGAAGAUAUUGAUGCAAUCUGCUGAAACCUCAUACCCACAUGGAACUCUUUCUGGUAAGUCUGGUAAACUUGUGAAAAGAUUAUACUCCUAAUAUUCCUGUCCAAUUUGAUAAGAAUUGGGCACACACUUCCGCCAAAUCCAUUGAUCAUGAAUUCCUCACUAAUUGAGCGAGAAACCAUGUCGGAAAGGCUGAGAUAAUACUCCAGAAUUUGAGAGUCAAAACAAGUCCAUUACAAUCCAGAGUACAAUAUAUCGAGAUUUGAACUAGAAACCAUGCCGACAGAAUGAUCCAGUUUCACAAUGAGAGACGAAUAAGCAAAGGAAGGUGAAAAUGCAGAAAUAGAAGUCACUAUUUAUGAUUAUUUUGCAAAUCAUCAUAGUAUGGUCAACUGGUUUCUUAGCCAAAAAGGAAUUAGGUCUAAGCUAAAGAAUAGUUAAGAACUGUUGAUAAGAUUUGAUGACGCUAAAGAAAUUUUGAAAUUCACAAUACUUUGUGAGAGCUGUUUCAAAGUUCAAAAAUUAAACAUAGAGCCUCUGAAUCAGCAGAAUGACGAAGAAGAAAGAUACAAAGCAGCCUGCGUAUGCAUGCAGUGACACGAUUGGCUACCUUAAAGUGAUGCUCUUGCGCAAACCAAAGCUCAUUGAGUCCAGAGAAGUUCAGAGUAAAGCUCAAUCUUCAUACAAUGAUGAAUAUGGUAGAGUCUCAAGCCAUUAAACUGAAAAUUACAAGGCUGAACAUUUAGUGGACAAGAGUACUGAUCAGUUGGGCUACAAGCGAGAACCUAAGUCCAUCUCUAUCGAAAAGUACAUGGACAAGGAGCUAGGGUUUUUCACCGAGUACCAAACCUAGGUGAAGUUUAAGGAAUCUGUUUAUCCAAACAAGUUUGGAUCUUCAUCAUCUAAUUCCAACUACGACAACAAUAAGAAUUGCAACUCCUUUUAGAAAUUGAUGAGAACGUCUGUUACCGAGGAGUUUCCCAAGAAAAGCAAUUAAUGUAAACAAAAUCAACACUCGAAGAAUUUGGUGUAAAGCUGACGGUCAACGGUUAAGGAACUUGACUUCAUCGCUAGAGAAAUCAAGAAGAUUAUCGAUAGAAUAAUCGUCGAGGACUUGUACCAAAGAUCCACACGAAUUUCCUCAAUGGAAACGAGUUCAAGAAUGUUGAUUCCAAUUCCAACUAACACUUUCCAGAUUUCAUCACAACCAACGUUUACUUGUUUUCUCCAACAUGCAUGUCAAAUGUCUUAAGUAGUUUCCACAUAGAUGUGACCUUGCCCGCCAUUCCUAGGUAACACAUGUCAUAGAGUGACACCAUCGAUUCAGAACCUCGAUUGGUCUUAACCAAUUCGUACCGCCAAUCCAAAGAUUUCGAUGUAGAGCCAACUUUACCUACAAUUCCUAGGAAACGCAUGUUGCAGAGUGGCAUCGCCAUUUUGGAUCAACGGCUGGUUUUAACCAGAAUUCCUCAAAUUGAGAUUUCUAAAACACGUCACUGAGUAUCGAUCCGAUGUUAAAAGUCGUCUAACAAAACAAACACGUCACUUGAGGCACAAUCCCGACAAGAAUUCUUGUUUUUCAACCAGAAGGUGACAAUUCAAACAAAGAAAGGUUCGCACAACUGCUCCGAAUAACACCAAAUCUAGAAGUCCUGACAUCCAAAUGAUGUCAAAACUGACACUUUACGAGAAUAGAAGAGAAUCCUAAGUAUGCUCUAAACAAACCACGCUCUGAUACCAAUCUGACACGCCCCGACCCUGAUAUUCCCCGAAUACCAGGAUAAACACUUGCUGGCCGACAUCCGAGGGUGACAAAAGCCAUUAAUUGAUACAAAAGCUAAGAAUAAGAAAUGAAUAAGGGUUAGAAAUUUAAAAUACAAUGAAAUAAUAAAUUAGGAACGUGCUCAGAGCAUACAACUAAACCUAAUCACUAAAAAGAAUUAAGAUAAAAUUGAAUGAAUAAAGAAGUGGGUCCUACAUCGAGAGGAUUCAAAGAUGCUGCUGCGGAAGUGUCUUGACGCCGGGAUUAGGUGCCUUGAUCCUAAGUCCUGAAUGGGGGCACAAAACAAAGGUAAGUGGACCAAGUUCAUAUAUAUAUAUAUAUAUAUAUAUAUAUAUAUAUAUAUAUAUAUAUAUAUAUAAUAAUAAAACAGUUAUCAAUAUACCAACCCCCACAGUUUAUAUAUAAUGAAAACUACUAGCAUAAUAAGUGAUGGAUUUAAUAAAAAUCCUAGCAUGCCAAAAAUAUCUCAAAAGUCAUAUCGCGGAACAACAUCGCGGAAAUCAAAACAGUAAACGUAUCAUAGAUCGUCUCGUAAGCUCGGUGUGCUGCUAGAAAGAUCACUUUAUAAAUAUAACUCCUGGCCCAAUACCUACUUUGUGGUCUCUGCGCCCGUAGCCAGAGAUUACUAACUCCCAGCCCAAUGCCUGCUUCAUGUCCCUUAGCCCGUAGUUAGGGAUUAUUUCUCCCGGCCUAAAUGCCAACACCAGAUCCUCACCCCAAGCAGCAUAGUGUCCUCUAGGUACGCACAAAUAGUUACGCCUCUCAUAAAUAACCACUUCAUAGUAUAAAGUCAUCCAUCGUCUAUACUAUAAAGAGGGGUUUCUAAAACAUGUUCUAGCAUCCUAUCUUCAUCCAUCAGAUAGUCUACCAGAUCAUGGUUUUUAUAGAAAAUACGAUAUAUCAAAAUAUAGCUCAAUAUAGGCCAACAAUUGAUUCCUCACCAAAAACACAAGACGAAAAUCAAUAUAUUUAAUAAACAGACUUCACAUAAAUCAAACCAUAAACUCGUAGGCAUGCUAAUCGUUUAUGCAAUUAAACUAUAAAAUGUAAUUUUAGAAAGGGUCCACUCACAGUACUUAGUUGCCAAAAGUUGCGCCAUUAGCGAAGACGGAAAGUCACAAUAAUUGCCCCUAAGCACAUAAAGAGUCCAAUAAAUAAAACUAUAUAAUAGCAAUUGAAUUUGGGAAAACGGACAUUGGAAACGGAUUCAGAAUGUCGAAUUACCCUAAGAAGGGUCCCGGACGAAAACCCAAAAAGUCAACCCUAAAGUCAACGGUCAAAUUAGGUCUAACAGGUUUUAGGCUUGAAAUCCAGAUUAGGGUUUAGGUUUAGGUUGAAUAAGGUUAGAAUCUAUUGGGUUUUGGUUUUGGAUAGGUUAGGUACAAAAUGGGUGGUUUGGGCUUAAGCCCAAAUCCACACACAACACACACACACAUACACUCACACACACACACACACACACUCACAACCCAAAGGCCUCACAACCAAAAGGGUUGGGCUCUGUAGGGAAGGCCCAAAGGGCUUGGGUUUGGUGGGUCGCCGGACCCAAUGGAAGAGAAAUCCGGAAAUCGGCCGGAAAAUGCACAACCUUUAAACGGCCAGAACUUUGUCAAACCUGAACGAAAUCAAGUGAUUCAAAAAGAAAGUUGUAGCCCUCGAAGAGAAGAAGAUAAUAGUACCUUACAGGAUGUCUAGCUCGCCGUGGUUAAUCCUCGGAGGGCGCCGGAAACUUGGUAAGAUUCAAAUGAGUAUAACUUCUUCAAUACUCAAUGAAAUUGAGUGAAACAAAAAUAAAAGUUGUAGUACUCGACGAGAUGAAAAGAUUGAUACCUUGCAUGCCAGCCAACUCGCCAUGGUUUGGCCGAAAAUUAUCUCGAAAGUGAUAGUGCUCACCGAAAAAUAUGGAGAAUGCUCCCCGAGCUGUUUUCACGUUUAAACCUUCACCAAAAACCCCUUUUUAGCAACCACUAAGCCUUCUAGACUACCAGGGAGAAAGAUGGAAGAGUGGUUCAACUUACCUUUAUUGGAAAACACCUGCACAGUGACUGUGCAUAGUGCCAAAAAUAGACCGGAGAUGUGAGGGAGAGAAUGAAGGUCCGAGUGUUGGUGAUGGGUGGUAUCGUCUUCGUUGAUGUGGUGUGGAAGUGAGGGUGUGUGGGUUCACGGGGAGAAGGAGAGAUUGCAGAGAAAGAGCACGGGUAGAGAUGAGAGAGAGGGAAAAGAGAGAAUUGAGAGAGAAGAGAAAUCGGGGACACAAAAGCAAGGUGGGCCCUCUGGGCAUAACUAUUAAGACCCAAAAAUAAUUUUAAAAGCAAUAAUAUUUUAGUUGAUGCAUUGACAAAACUACGUGAAAAUACAAUUUAAAUUGGGAUGGGGUGUAACAGUGCCCUUUGACAAAACUGCACAGCCAUAGAGGGCACAAUAAUAUUUUAGUUGAUGCAUUGUUGCUUUUGUUCUAUGGGCACAUAUGUUGGUGUCCUUUGACUUCAUAGGGCACAUUUAAUUUUUUGUGUACAGUGCUCAUAUUUUUUUGUAGUGCGGCUAAUAUAGCAACUGUUACAAACUUAUGAUUAUACCAAUAUAUAGUCAUACCAUAGUAACUGUUACAGACUUCUGAUUAUACUAGUAUAUAGUCAUACCAUAGUAGUUACAGACUUAUGAUACAAAUGCAAUUACUAAGGGAAAUAAUAAUUUACUAGAAAGGGGUCCUAUCCAGAUUCUUUUCACCUAAUCCUUCUCAUCAAAUAAUCUGGGGCCUUGAAAUUUGAUCCAACUGCUAAAAACACGAGCCCACUUUAAAAGUUAUAAUAACUUUAGCCGUUAAAUCAAAUUUUAAGAACUCGGAUUGUUUGAUGAAGAGGAUUAGGUGAAAGGGAUCCGGAGAAGAUCCCUUUCUGAAUUUAGUGCGACGCUGUUAAGAACACGUGCUAAAGAAAAGAAAUAAUACUAUGGUGUGUCAGGCCAUAAAAUUAGACUAGACUCUCGUUCAAACACCAUGGAAAGAAAAAUUGGCAAAUUCACAAUGGCUUCCAUAUAUGCUCAUUUCAGCACGGUUCAAGGAGUUUGUGGCAAUUUUCGGAUAAUUUUUCAGUUUUGUAUGAUUUUAUAUGAAUUUUACACCGUAUAUUGUAUUUUAUCGAAUAUAUGAUUCAGUAUCAAAACGACGAGCAUGUUUCAAGGAAUCUGUAUCAAUUUUAGAAUAUUUUUACGAUUUUUCUCUGAUUUUAUUCUCAAGAAAAACACAUAUAACUUCUUAUUCUCACUGCCAUGUGACAGCUUCUAUGUCAUCACUAGGGUUUAGGGUAUUAUUUCAUUACGUGUCACAAGGCAUCAUCCAAAAAAUACCCACAAGGGUAGUAUCGAAAUUUGGUUGUACACAACCCAAAUAUGUGAUGCAUUUUGAUUGGUCCAAACUCUUGCAAAACUUAGGUGGCAGCACCUGAUAAGGCCACAUGUUAUUUAACAAUAAAUUAAUUUGACAUCCGAGUUUGUAUCUGAGUUUACAUCCAAGUUUCAUCAACGCAACUCACCCAAGUCAUCUGAGCUUACAUCCAAGUUUCAUCAACGCAACUCACCCAGGUCAACUAUAAGUCCAACUCAACCCAAGUCAACAAUAUAAACCCUAAACACAACAUGUCAACAAGUAUUCAUAAAUUUAAACAAGUUUUCAUCAACACAACUCAACCAAGUUAAAAAUAUAACUCCAUCUCAACCAAAUUUAACAGUAUAAAACCUAAACACAACUUUCAACAAGUAUUCAUAAACCUGUAUCAAUCUCAAAUUUCAACAAACUUCAUCAACAAUCAUGAAUAAUUAACCAUGAACGCUAAAUUAAUUUUAAAAAAAUUGAACAUAAAUAAAAAGUUUACUUACCAGGGUUCCAAAAUUUCAAAGUCACCAAAUCAACAACCCGAAAUUUCAAAGUGACUUUAAGGGAAGGAACUAUGACGUCGAUUUGGAGGAAGCAAGUUUGUCGUCGAUUUGAAGGAAGCAGGUAGGCAAUCGAUUUGGAGGAAGUAAGUAGGCUGUCAUUCCUCAGCACAAGCUGCGAACGAAUUAAGGUGCGUCUUUUGUGUCGGAACAGUUUAAAACGAAGUAUGCCACUGUCGGUUUCGAAGACGCGGUGUGGAAGACGCCGUCAGAGACAGUGUGAAACUCGAACGAAAUUUUUUGAAUUCGCGUGUAAGUGUUGGGCAGAGGGAGACGACAAAGUAAACUCACGGGGAAGUUACAAAUUCAAUUUUUGUAACUAUUGUCCAAUUCUGUAGGCCAAUAAUUAAUGGGUCAUUUAUGACCUGGUUUCACGCUAAGCUUAAUUGGCUGAUGUGAGCCGUUUAGAUAAAAUUCAACAGUUUACGUUGGUCCAAACAGAUAGUCUGCACAAUAGAAUUUGCGAACUUCAGGUUCACGGUAAUUAUAAUCGGAUCAGUGGCUGAGCCACAAUGGGGCCAUGACAGUCCCAGACCCGUUCUGCAGCUCCUACCAUAUAGCAUAUAGCACGUUGUUUUACAAAACUGUUAUAACACAAGUAUAUCCAAACUGCAUGAAGGAUCAAUUGUGUUGAAAAAAAACUAAUUCUGUUAUAAAUAAAGGUCCAUUGUAUUGACAGUUUGGCCGCCAUGUGUUCAACAAUUAGUUUUAUGUUUAUUGUAUAAUUUUCCCAAUACUAAUUAAACUCAUAAAAACUCUAUAGGUUCAUCCUUUUCUUUAGUUUAUAAAGACCCAUGCCAAUGUAAGCAUUAUGUGUUUUUUUUUUUUCACUUAACACUAGAAGGACUUAGGUUUGACUCAUGUGAAUAGCGAGUUUGAUAUCAAAUUAUUUUUAUGGACUUAUUAUAUGAUUUAGCUCAAACUUUCACCCCAUAGUGUAAAAUAAGGUUGCAUCAGAAUAAUUAUUCAUGCCAGUACAAAAAAAAUCUCUAAAUUUUCUCCCUUAUAUUUUGUUUAAUGAUGAUCUAGCUUAAAGACCUUCCCAACCUGGAUUUAUGGCUCCGCCACGUGAUUGACCCGCUUCAGGAGGCCCAAAGGUCUUAGGUCCAUUCGGUACACCCCAUUUCAAUGCCGAAAUCGUCACACAUGAUGGUCCUCCACCUAUUUCGAUGCCGACAUCGUCACACAUGAUGGUGGCGAGGUGCACCGACCUCGGAGAUGUUACGGGUGCCCUUAGGAUGCCCUAAUCCAAUGAGAUUCUUUGGGUAAUCUCUUGGAUUCCAGUCGUCAUAGACGACCCCACCAUCAUGGGACGGCGGCUUCUGGCAUCAUGUUGACUAGCUAGUCCUCACAGAUGUAGGAUUUUCUCGGUUUAUGGCGAGAAGAUAGGGUGGCCUUGGCGUCUAGAGGUUAGGAACACUACCGUAAAAAAAAACGAUGUGUUGUCUAGGCCAGGGCUAGGGUUUGGUAACUUGGCUCGUUGCUUGGCAUGGCUCAUCCUCUUGCCAUGGGGCGCGUCUUCAAGUUACGGCUACUACGGAUUUUAGGAUUUUUGAAAUAAAAAUAGCUAUUCUUACCAUCUCUCUAAUAAAGAUAAGACCCAAAUGUAUUGGCAGGUCCUAUCUCUAUUAGAGAGAUGAUACAAAUAGGUGAUAAAUGUAAUAUUACUCUUUUAAAAUCCUUUUUUUUUCUUUUCUUUUUUUGAUAUACCCACACAUACAUCGACAAGUAAUUUGCAUAUAACGAAGCAUAGUAAUCUCAUUAUACAAAGUAUGAAAUAAAAAUAAAGAUCAAAGGGAUUAGGGUUAGAGUUGCUUUUUUUCUUUUUUCUUUUUUGAACAAUAAUAUUAUAUACACUAAGGGGGAGGAGGUUGGUUGAGCCUCACAAUGGGCUAGUAAUAAUGUUGUUCAAAUUCACAUUUGGUGAAAUCAAACCUAAAACCUCUUACUUACAAGUAAUACAAGUCUUAAAGGAUUUGAUCUCUACAAACACCUACUAAAUUCCUAUUUCUAAUUUACACAAUCGCAUUCCUAUAAUAACGUUGUUUACGACACACAUGAUAAUACAUCCUUCAUAUAGCAAAAAAGGGAAAAGACCCAAACGAAAAGUUCUAAUAAUCUUUAUUCAUGUCAGGCCAAACCAAAGUGAGAAAUCAUUUUAAACACCCACGUAUGAAAUUGUUCAUCAAAGAUUACUCCACGCGACGUUUGAGUAUAUACACAUACAGUAAAGUUGCUAUAGAUACACUAUCAAAAAUUACCAUUUGCAACGAAUUUUACCCGACGGAUUGUUGUGAUAUGUAAUCAAAAUCACCAAUCAUGAAAACUGGUACGGAAUAAAUUAAACUCUAAAUAUUAAUGGAAAAUCAUAAGAGUUAUCAGAGCAUACAACAUGUAAGCUUAAAAGGGUUUUUAUCACAAAUAGUCCUUGAAAUUGACCAUCAUCAUCAAGAUGGUCCCUGAAAUUAAAAAUCAAUCAAUGUAAUCCCUGAAAAUAGGUGUCGCAAAUCAAUGUGGUCAUUCCGUCACAAUUCUGUUAAAAAAUCCAUUAAGUGCUGAUGUGGCACAUAAAUGGGCCCCACAAUAUUUAUAGGUUUUUAUCACAAAUAGUCCCUGAAAUUGACCCAUACAAUCAAGAUGAUCCCUGAAAUUGACCCACACCAUCAAUAUGGUCCCUCAAAUUGAAAAUCAAUCAAUGUAGUCCUUGAAAAUAGGUGUCGCAAAUCAAUAUGAUUUUUCUGCCACAAUUCUGUAAAAAAAAAAUUGUUAUGUGCUGAUGUGGGUUUAAUAAUUAAUUAAAAUAAGUUGUCUAAAUACCUUUUUGCACAAUGAAUUUUUUUUUUCUUAUAGUAGGCCUACUCCGAAAAAAGAUCCAUUUCAUAAAUUCUCAAGGGCACAAGACUUAACCAAGGCCUAAGAGGGGGUAUGGAAAUAGUUUUCAACCAAUAAUGGAUGCACCUCGGUUAUAACCUCGUUAUCUCAAGUCAGACCUUGUCGUUCUUUGCAUCACUAGACCACCUGGAAAGCGCAAACAAGCUCUUCAAGAUAAAGGUUGUGAGGAUAUUAAUCGCCUAAAUGUUAAUGGUGAUGUUCCAAUAGUUGUUGCUAAUGGGUCAAGCCAUCACCAAAGGUGAUCUCGAUCUAGGUUCAAUUCAGUGAAGGGUGUCGAAAUGUGUAAAGAUAGGUGUAUUGAGAUUUCUUUUAGAGAAUAGAGAGCGAAUGAGGUAGAGAAAUGUCGACUGGGAUCAGAGGUGAUUGCAUGACUGGGUUUUUGAGUUGACAAUUUUUUUAUUAACUACUAAAUUAUUAAGCCUAUUUCUAAUUUUUUUUUAAUUUAAUUAGACUUGUGUGACCCAUUUAUGUAUCACAUCAGCACAUAAUAGUAUUGUGACAAAAGAACUACAUUGAUUUGAGACACUUACUUGUGGGACUGCAUUGAUCAAUUUUCAAUUUCAGGGACCAUUUUGAUGUUACGAGUCAAUUUUAGGGACCAUUUUGAUGUCGUGGGUCAAUUUUAAGGACCAUUUGUAAGAAAAAAGGACUUGUGGGGCCCAUUUAUGUGCCACAUCAGCACUUAACAUAAUUUUUAAUAGAAUUGUGACAGAAAUACCACAUUGAUUUGGGGCACCUAUUUUCAGGGACUACAUUGAUUGAUUUUCAAUUUCAGAGACCAUUUGUAAUAAAAACCCAACUUAAAAUUGGGUAAAGUCAUAAGACUCAAUUUAUGAGCCAAAAUCUUGAACUCCAUGAUAUUCACACAAUUAAUGGGGAAGACAUAAAUCACAUAACUUGAUAACUAGUCGUUAAAUAUCAUCUACAACCUUUAUCUUGAACGUUCUGUAGAUGAGCCGUCGGUGUGGAGAAAAUUAGGUUCUCUCUUUAGCCUUGCUUGCACGUUAAAACCCUAAUACGUGUUUUUCGUUAGUGCAACACUAUAUGGGUAUGCGCAUUGUUAUAGGUAAAGAGAACCUAUUUCCUUGAAACUCAUAAUUAUUUAUCACCCUUCACAAUAAUAUCCAUUAAACACUAGGACCAUAUCAUGUGCACCACAUUAGGUUAUUAAAAUAUUCUUACUGGAGGCUACGUCUUGCAUCACAGGCGAAGCUGAACUCACUGCGUCACUAUGCCCUAUCUAUAUCUAGCUCAUUCUUAUGUAGCAGCUGCUAGAAAUAAGAUGCAAGACAUAUUAGGCGGCAAAGUUCUAUUUAGAGAAAAUAUAUGCAUAACAACACAAUACAUGGUUUAGAACUUUAAUGUCAAACAUCGAUACAACAAAACUAAUAACGACAUUUACGUAAAAUUACGUGAGCACCAGAUUGAGGUUGAAGAGUUGCGUAUGUUAAAGGAUCAUGAGCAUAGGAUGAAGAGAGCUCGAAGGUAAAGUGUUGUAAGAUCAAUGAUAAGGCAAGUUUUGAUUCCAUCAUAGCAAAAUUUUGGCCAAUGCAAAUCCACGGACCAGCGCCAAAAGGGAAGUAUGUGAAUCUGUUGUUGUUGCCUAUGAAACUCCUCCUGAAAACCUCUC